GAUGAACGCUGGCGGCGUGCCUAAUACAUGCAAGUCGAGCGAAUGGAUUAAGAGCUUGCUCUUAUGAAGUUAGCGGCGGACGGGUGAGUAACACGUGGGUAACCUGCCCAUAAGACUGGGAUAACUCCGGGAAACCGGGGCUAAUACCGAAUGUGGUGCCGGCUCAUGAGAGCCGUCACGAAAGGAAGCUUCGGCCUCCGCGACAGGAUGGGCCCGCGGCCCAUUAGCUUGUUGGUGGGGUAAUGGCCUACCAAGGCAACGAUGGGUAGCUGGUCUGAGAGGACGAUCAGCCACACUGGGAGUGAGAAACGGCCCAGACUCCUACGGGAGGCUGCAGUGGGGAAUCUUGCGCAAUGAGCGACAGCUUGACGCAGCAACGCCGCGUGGGGGAAGAAGGCUUUCGGGUCGUAAACCCCUUUCAGUUAGGACGAAGCUUUAUUGGUUAAUAAUCAAUUGGAGUGACGGUACUUUCAGAAGAAGCCCCGGCUAACUACGUGCCAGCCGCCGCCGAAA
rnacentral:rRNA from 1 species